rnacentral:rRNA from 1 species
UACGUAGGCAGCAAGCGUUGUUCGGAGUUACUGGGCGUAAAGAAUGCGUAGGCGGUCUUUUAAGUUUGGUGUGAAAUCUCCCGGCUCAACUGGGAGGGUGCGCCGAAAACUGGAAGGCUCGAGGAUGGGAGAGGCAUGCGGAAUUCCUGGUGUAGCGGUGAAAUGCGCAGAUAUCAGGAGGAACACCGGUGGCGAAGGCGGGUCUCUGGGCCGAUACUGACGCUGAGGAGCGAAAGCGUGGGGAGCGAACAGG